rnacentral:rRNA from 1 species
AUUGAACGCUGGCGGCAGGCCUAACACAUGCAAGUCGAACGAGUGGCGGACUGGGGAGUAAUGUCUGGGAAACUGCCUGAUGGAGGGGGAUAACUACUGGAAACGGUAGCUAAUACCGCAUACCAUCGGAUGUUCCCAGAGGGGAUUAGCUUGUUGGUUGGGUAACGGCGCACCAAGGCGACGAUCCCUAGCUGGUCUGAGAGGAUGACCAGCCACACUGGAACUGAGACACGGUCCAGACUCCGACGGGAGGCAGCAGUGGGGAAGAUUGCACAAGGGGCGCAAGCCUGAUGCAGCCAUGCCGCGUGUAUGAAGAAGGCCUUCGGGUUGUAAAGUACUUUCAGCGGGGAGGCGUUACCCGCAGAAGAAGCACCGGCUAACUCCGUGCCAGCAGCCGCGGUAAUAC